GACGUAGGGCGCGAGCGUUGUCCGGAUUUAUUGGGCGUAAAGAGCUCGUAGGCGGCUUGUCGCGUCGAAUGUGAAAACCCACGGCUCAACUGUGGGCUUGCGGUCGAUACGGGCAUCACUGGAGUUCGGCAGGGGAGACUGGAAUUCCUGGUGUAGCGGUGAAAUGCGCAGAUAUCAGGAGGAACACCGGUGGCGAAGGCGGGUCUCUGGGCCGAUACUGACGCUGAGGAGCGAAAGCGUGGGGAGCGAACAGG
rnacentral:rRNA from 1 species